rnacentral:rRNA from 1 species
AAAAUAAAAUAAGUAUAAAUUAGAGUAGUAAAUGUUAAAUCAUUAAAUUUAAAUAAUUUGGCAGUAUUUUUUAUAUUAGAGGAACUUGUUUUUUAAUUGAUAAUCCACGUUUAUAAUUACUUAAUUAAAGUUUUUAUGUAUUGUUGUUUAAAAUUUAUCAUGUAAUUAUGGGAUAUUUAAUAUUUUUAAUAUAAAAAUAAUUCAAAUCAAAAUGUAGAAUAAUUAAGAUAAAAUGAGUUACAAUUAUUUAAAAUAUUUUGGAUUUUAAUAAUUAUAUUAUUAGAUAAAAUUGGAUUUAAAAGUAAAAUUAAUU